UUCCAGAGGUCCUGAGUUCAAUUCCCAGCAACCACAUGGUGGCUCUCAACCAUCCGCAAUGAGAUCUGGUGCCCUCUUCUGGCCUGCAGGCAUGAAGAGGAUACUGGAAAGAUUACUUCUGUGUGAAGAGAAGAAUAAACACACCCAAGAAGUUACAGGAAAUAAACAACGCAGGACAGUUCCUGCCUCCAGGUUCCUGCCCUAUUUGAGUUCCUGCCCAGACUGCCUUGGAUGAUGAACUGUGACGUGGAAGAGUCAG